rnacentral:rRNA from 1 species
GACGAACCGAGCGAACGUUGUUCGGAAUCACUGGGCUUAAAGGGCGCGUAGGCGGGUGAUCAAGUCGGUGGUGAAAUCCUGCAGCUCAACUGCAGAACGGCCUCCGAUACUGGUCGUCUCGAGGAAGGUAGGGGUGUGUGGAACAGUUGGUGGAGCGGUGAAAUGCGUUGAUAUCAACUGGAACUCCGGUGGCGAAGGCGACACACUGGACCUUUUCUGACGCUGAGGCGCGAAAGCCAGGGGAGCAAACGGG